AUGAUUGUAUCUAAUUCCAGGAGAAAGGAACAAAAGAGCCAGUGUACAGUGCCAAGUAGCAGGAGGUCAAAAGGGGCCAAACCAAUCCAGAGUCUUCUAGAACUCACUCCUAAAAAUGCAUCAUGGAUGCCUUUGCAGAGGAUUAUAUAAAAGGAGUCACUUCUGUGACAAAGGCUGGCACUAAAGAAAAAGUGCCAGGCUGAAGAGUGUGUGGAACUGAUCACCGCAACAGGGGAGGGACCCCAGGAGAUUGGAAUUGAGGAGCAGAAGAUUCUGGCUAAAGAUCAGUUGGUCACUCAGUGGAGAGAAGGUGGAAAGAGAAGGUAGAAUAAGACAUUCCCCUGAGGGUUACCCACUUUUCCUGCUUGUGCCUAGAAAUCCUCCCCCGCAACAUUUGCAAAUUGAAGACUCACUGAAGAGAAAACCUGAGAAAAGGCAUUUUGAAUCUCUGUAAGACUUUAUGUCAGCUCCUGUUGUCCUGGGUCUGUAAUAUGGCCAAGGGGCCAAACCCAGGGUCAGCUAACCUGACUUUCUCUCAGGGGGCUCAAGCUGCCAAAGCCUAAGUUCCCCCCAGACUCAAGGAGGGAGGGAAAAGGGUUUUAGAUAGACAGGGACCCCCUUUUUCCCACUUUCCUCUCCCAUUCUUUUUCCUGCCAGUUAUUCCUCUGUAUUAUCUUGAUUGAGUUAAUUGCCAUUAGAGUAGUUAUUUUUUUCCCAAGUGGUGAAUCAAGUGAGAAUGAACAGAUCAAGGGGAAAAGACAUCUUCCUAGGAAGAAACCCUUUGGUCUCGAGUAGUGGAGGGGGGACAAGAGGGACAAGAGCAAAUCUGGAAGAGCAGCCAUAGCUAAAAAGGGAAGGCAAAAGGGGAAAGAUCUUGAAACCCCCUCUCCUCUCUCUGAGCCAACCUUAAACAUCUGCUGUCUCCCCUGAACCCAGCUUUGAGAAGGGAGGUCUCCACUCUUCCCCUCUCUCAUUUCAUUACACUUCAUCAGAUGUUAAUUAUAAGCAAGAAAUUAUUUUUCAUCAAUCAGUUAAUAAGCAUUUAUUAAAUGCCUAUUAAGGAGAAACAAAGUAUCAAAGAGCAGAAGCCUCCUUCACCAUAUAGACAUUUGGCAUUGGAGCAAAGUAUAGACUAGAUAUAUUGCUAUGGCUUUAGAGAAGAUUGUAAUUUAGUAUUAACUAAUUACUAGUCUUAAUAUAAGAAUGACAUAAGGAUCUUAACUACAUAGCCACAACUCUUUCCUCCAUCUGUAAAGUGGAAAUAUUAUAGACCUUGUCCUCCCUCCUUCUUAUAUUAGAAGGGUUCAAUUAAGAUCAUAAAAUCACAAAAUCUUAGAGAUGGAAAAGUCUUCAAAGAUCAUCUUGUCUAAUCCAUGCCUAAAGUACGUUCUCGCCAAAAUACUUCCAAUAAAUGAUCAUGAUAUCUGGCUGAAGAUCUUCA
rnacentral:lncRNA from 1 species